rnacentral:rRNA from 1 species
UUGAACGCUGGCGGCAGGCCUAACACAUGCCCGUCGAACGGUAACAGGAAGAAGCUUGCUUCUUUGCUGACGAGUGGCGGACGGGUGAGUAAUGUCUGGGAAACUGCCUGAUGGAGGGGGAUAACUACUGGAAACGGUAGCUAAUACCGCAUAACGUCGCAAGACCAAAGAGGGGGACCUUCGGGCCUCUUGCCAUCGGAUGUGCCCAGAUGGGAUUAGCUAGUAGGUGGGGUAACGGCUCACCUAGGCGACGAUCCCUAGCUGGUCUGAGAGGAUGACCAGCCACACUGGAACUGAGACACGGUCCAGACUCCUACGGGAGGCAGCAGUGGGGAAUAUUGCACAAUGGGCGCAAGCCUGAUGCAGCCAUGCCGCGUGUAUGAAGAAGGCCUUCGGGUUGUAAAGUACUUUCAGCGGGGAGGAAGGGAGUAAAGUUAAUACCUUUGCUCAUUGACGUUACCCGCAGAAGAAGCACCGGCUAACUCCGUG